AGCAUAUCAAUAAGCGGAGGAAAAGAAACUAACCAGGAUUCCCCUAGUAACUGCGAGUGAAGCGGGAAAAGCUCAAAUUUAAAAUCUGUCAGUCUUUGACUGUCCGAGUUGUAAUCUAGAGAAGUGUUAUCCGCGCUGGACCGUGUACAAGUCUCCUGGAAUGGAGCGUCAUAGAGGGUGAGAAUCCCGUCUUUGACACGGACUGCCAGGGCUUUGUGAUGCGCUCUCAAAGAGUCGAGUUGUUUGGGAAUGCAGCUCAAAAUGGGUGGUAAAUUCCAUCUAAAGCUAAAUAUUGGCGAGAGACCGAUAGCGAACAAGUACCGUGAGGGAAAGAUGAAAAGAACUUUGGAAAGAGAGUUAAACAGUACGUGAAAUUGCUGAAAGGGAAACGCUUGAAGUCAGUCGCGUUGGCCAGGGAUCAACCUUGCUCUUGCUUGGUGUACUUUCUGGUUGACGGGUCAGCAUCAAUUUUGACUGUUGGAAAAAGGUCAAGGGAAUGUGGCAUCUUUGGAUGUGUUAUAGCCCUUGGUUGUAUACAAUGGUUGGGAUUGAGGAACUCAGCACGCCGCAAGGCCGGGUUUUUAACCACGUACGUGCUUAGGAUGCUGGCAUAAUGGCUUUAAUCGACCCGUCUUGAAACACGGACCAAGGAGUCUAACAUGCCUGCGAGUGUUUGGGUGGAAAACUCGAGCGCGCAAUGAAAGUGAAAGUUGAGAUCCCUGUCGUGGGGAGCAUCGACGCCCGGACCAGACCUUUUGUGACGGUUCCGCGGUAGAGCAUGUAUGUUGGGACCCGAAAGAUGGUGAACUAUGCCUGAAUAGGGUGAAGCCAGAGGAAACUCUGGUGGAGGCUCGUAGCGAUUCUGACGUGCAAAUCGAUCGUCAAAUUUGGGUAUAGGGGCGAAAGACUAAUCGAACCAUCUAGUAGCUGGUUCCUGC
rnacentral:rRNA from 2 species